rnacentral:rRNA from 1 species
ACGAACGCUGGCGGCGUGCUUAACACCUGCAAGUCGCACGGAAAGGCCCUGCUUUUGUGGGGUGCUCGAGUGGCGAACGGGUGAGUAACACGUGAGUAACCUGCCCUUGACUUUGGGAUAACUUCAGGAAACUGGGGCUAAUACCGGCUAGGAGCUCCUGCUGCAUGGUGGGGGUUGGAAAGUUUCGGCGGUUGGGGAUGGACUCGCGGCUUAUCAGCUUGUUGGUGGGGUAGUGGCUUACCAAGGCUUUGACGGGUAGCCGGCCUGAGAGGGUGACCGGCCACAUUGGGACUGAGAUACGGCCCAGACUCCUACGGGAGGCAGCAGUGGGGAAUAUUGCACAAUGGGCGGAAGCCUGAUGCAGCAACGCCGCGUGCGGGAUGACGGCCUGCGGGUUGUAAACCGCUUUCGCCUGUGACGAAGCGUGAGUGACGGUAAUGGGUAAAGAAGCACCGGCUAACUACGUG